UACCUUAUGGCUUAGUGGUUAAAGUUGAUUUUUAUAGUUUUUGUGUUGUUUUAAGGGUCUCUUUUAUCUUUUUUUAGGGGUAUAAUGUGUCACCAUUUUUUUUGUUAUAAAUGAUGAUGAGGAAUAUGAGAGAUGCUGUUGAUUUUGAACUUAUUUUUUAAAAAAUACUUAUUUAAAUAUAAAUAUUAUGAAGCCAGUCGUGGCGAAAGGCACAAACGUGCUACUGUAUGUGGGUUCGAUUCCCACUUCGGGAA
rnacentral:tRNA from 1 species